GAGUCCAUUGCAAACCGUUAAAUGAGGGGCAGCGAGCUUUAUCGUAAAGGAAGAGAACGAAGAAGAGUGAGGAACGCGAAGGAGCAGCAUCCUGCAACAGAGCAGCAAAUCCGGUGCCCUCAGAUAGCCCGUCAAGAACCUGUACAACGAUGUGUCUUUGUGAUACACCUGGCAGUGUGAUGGUGUUGGGAGUUUUGUGCCUCGUACUGCUGCUUUGCGCAUCGAUUCAAGCGCAAGCCCCGGACAUGUGCAUCGUCGGAUCGGCUGCUGACGCGGCCGGUAUCAGCGUUGGAACGUUGGACGGCCUCAAACCCGGAUGCCAUGGAACGACGCCUAUUGUCUGGGACAAGCCUAUAAAGCUGGCACCUUUGGGAGUCGGCUUCAGUGGGCACGGCAGCACCGCAACCGCCAUGCCGUCUAAUCAGCGAUUUUUGUUCCUCGAGCAGAUAGGCAACGUGCUUCAAUUGAUUUAUGUAUUCGUCUUGGCGGAGGUAUUGGAGGCCUUAUAUCCACACCUCGCUACCAAAGAAGCAAGCGCACUUGACUGGGCAAUCAUAGUAGCUUUGAUUGCAUUCAAUGUAGGAAGUUGUGUUCUUUCGAUCGGCCUGAUAUGGGGAGCGAAUUCUGUAGACCGUGGCCUCCUUAAAAAAGUUGUGAUUGGGACCAAAAUACGGCUCAUCGUUUUGAUCUUUUACUCAGCGUUUACAGUUUACGUUCUAUCAACACGAGAUCCCCAAGACCCGCUAGGAAUAGGCAAGGCUAAGUUAAUUGAGCACCGGUCAAUGGGAAGCGACUCGUGGGUCAUGGGCAAGUAUGGGAACCUGGACCCAAAAACUAUGGUGCUGCAGAGCAUCAAUUUCCUACCGGGCCCUCAUGUAUUGUGGUUGGCUCAGAAAAAUCCGGACAACAAGCGUACAUAUAAAAAGCACGACAAGAAGGACAAGGAAGAUGAAGAGAAUAAACAGCGCCAGAAGUUUUGUUACCUCCAACCUGCCUCCUGCUUCAUCAACGCCGAUAAACACCUUGAAGAGACUUUGGUCGACUUCAAGGAGAAAAGAACAAUCAAAAACUUAACUGGCGCAGCCGACAGGAUCGGCGAGCUCUACAACAUCGAAUCCUGGACCAGUGGUGAGAAGAUCAAGUCAUCCAACGACCACCUCCUGCACCUUUGAGAAGAUCCCACAGCAGCCAAGCCCGGCACCGUGGAGGAGAUCCGAAAACGACAGUGCAUUCAGCAAAGGGUCCAAUUCCUGGUAUAUGCUGUAGGGAAAGAGAUCAUGUGCUUUUUCCUUGAGCUGUUCAUCGUCUACAGACUGGACCUAUUCGUCAAGAGCUUACCCCAGUAACCGGACAAAGGCUUCCCCAGGGCGAGCCUCGCACACAGCGCGGCACGAUCUCCUAUUCACCCGCGAAAUCCAGGAUUUUGCUUUUAAAUAACAAAUUCAAGGCCGCACGUCAUCCUUAUGAUUACUUAAA